ACAACGACUCUCGGCAACGGAUAUCUCGGCUCUCGCAUCGAUGAAGAACGUAGCGAAAUGCGAUACUUGGUGUGAAUUGCAGGAUCCCGCGAAUCACCGAGUCUUUGAACGCAAGUUGCGCCCGGAGCCAUCUGGCCGAGGGCACGUCUGCCUGGGCGUCACGC
rnacentral:rRNA from 19 species